UUGGGGCUCACAGACUCCGCGGACGCUUUCCAGGCCCUGCGACCUCGCAGAAUUCUGACUCGUCGUCGCCUGGCGCCGCACAGGGUCCGCUGGAGGUUGCGUCGGAAAACGCUAGACGCGAACAUUCUGCCAUUCCGAGGCCGCCGGCUCCAGCUGAGGGGGCCGCGGGCCCGGGCGGGCUCACUGUCCCGCGGCAGCCAACGACUGGUGGGCCGUGGGCCGUGGGGCCGGGCCCCCGAGUGCUGCGGGGAGCCGAAGGCCCAGUCAGUCCUGGGGGAGGGGAGAGCUCAGUCUUUCUAGGGGCUCUGUUAUUUGUGACCACAAUGAAAAAUUUAGACAGUGAUGAUAUCCUAACUGACAAGCAUCCUAAGCCCAAGAGCUCGAAAGAAUGGUUGGAACCACAGCCACUUCAUUUUAUGGAGGUAUUAGCUAAAGAAGAUAUUGAUGCAGCUAUUCAAUCGAUAUUAUAUAGAGAAAAUUAUGUAAUUAAGGAACUAGAUAAAUAUUUGCAACAUCAUGAGUUCUUAAAUGCAAGAAGAAAGGAGAGGUUGUAUAAAAGAUGGACUGACCAUGUGGCAGAUCCUCUCCAGAAGAAAAUUAUAGAAAAAGUUUGUUCACAUAAGAAGAUUAAUAAAAGGAGACAAGAGGAAUUAGGUGGUUUUUUAAAACAUGUAAAUAAAAAGGGAAAUGUAUUUAUAGAGCAUUAUGAUCCGAAAGAGUAUGAUCCUUUUUAUAUGAGCAAAAAGGACCCGAAUUUUCUGAAGGUUAUCGUUCCACCAUUUCGUGAUCCUUUGAAAAAGGCACAAUAUGACAAAGAUAACGAGAAAAGAACUCUUCUUCAGUGUGAGACUGGCAAAAUAUGUACAAUGAAAGAAUUUAAAGAGGUUGAGAACGCCAAACAGCAGUCCAGAUUUCCAAGAAUUUCUAGUUCGAGGCACUUUAUGACUCCAAAUAAGUGGCUUAUGCUGCCUACAACCUAUAUAGAAAGUGAAUUUUGUAAAAGGAGCAGGUUAAAAGUGAAAGUGAAUUUUAACGAUGGUAAUUUUGAUUUGAAACCCAUGGCAAGAGCUCCUCAUCCUCUGGAAUCUCAGAAGAAGGAAAAGCAGUUAUUUACAAAUCAUCCUUUCUGGUAAAAAAAGCCUCUAAGUACUCAUGAGAGAAAAGAAUCUAAGUCCCAAAGAGGCCAACUGUGAAGGGCCCUUUUUUCCGUGGCCCUCAGCCAAGAAAGAAAGGGAAGAGCACCAGGAUGUGGUUUUAGCAACCAAGGAGCACACACCUUGACCUUGAUUGGUAAGAGGAAACAAAUGAUUCAGAGAAGCCACUUGCCAGCAGGAUUCAUUCAGGUUGAGGACCAAGGAAGGCACUAAGCACCUCCAAUAAACUUCACUAAAGUUCAGUGUCUGCAUGAUAAUUAAGAAAUCACAAUACCUUGUGUUGACAAUUAUUACAAAUGUAUGUUCCCUAGAAGUUAAUUAUUGCCUGAAAGAGCCAAUAAAAAUAAUGAUAGCUGUGGCGCCUGGGUGGCUCAGUUGGUUAAGCCUCUGACUUCU